rfam:Triticum aestivum genome assembly, contig: Triticum_aestivum_CS42_TGACv1_scaffold_442228_5DL
CUUGUACUCCCUCCGUCCGAAAAUACUUGUCAUUGAAAUGGAUGUAUCUAGAUGUAUUUUAGUUCUAGACACAUCCAUUUUGAUGACAAGUACCGGACGGAGGGAGUACUUG